GACGAACGCUGGCGGCGUGCUUAACACAUGCAAGUCGAACGGAAAGGCCCUGCUUUUGUGGGGUGCUCGAGUGGCGAACGGGUGAGUAACACGUGAGUAACCUGCCCUUGGCUUUGGGAUAACUUCAGGAAACUGGGUCUAAUACCGGAUAGGAGCUCCUGCUGCAUGGUGGGGGUUGGAAAGUUUCGGCGGUUGGGGUUGGACUCGCGGCUUAUCAGCUUGUUGGUGGGGUAGUGGCUUACCAAGGCUUUGACGGGUAGCCGGCAUGAGAGGGUGACCGGCCACAUUGGGACUGAGAUACGGCCCAGACUCCUACGGGAGGCAGCAGUGGGGAAUAUUGCACAAUGGGCGGAAGCCUGAUGCAGCAACGCCGCGUGCGGGAUGAAGGCCUUCGGGUUGUAAACCGCUUUCGCCUGUGACGAAGCGUGAGUGGCGGUAAUGGGUAAAGAAGCACCGGCUAACUACGUG
rnacentral:rRNA from 1 species